UUAAUAUUGGUUUGGAUCAAAGUGGGUUUAUGGGUUAUCCAAUCCAAUCCAUUUUUUCACGUAAUCUCUUCUCUUCCUCUUUCUCUCUUUUUCUUUCUCUCACCAAACUUGAUUUUUUUCCCGAUCUCCCGAGACCUUCAUCAUCAAUCAUCAAUCAUCAAUCACAACCUCGAGACCUUCAUCAUCAAUCACGACUUAUCGAUCACAACCUUCAUCAUCAAUCACGACUUGACAUCGAUUACCCCUUCAUCAUCAAACACAGCAACUCUGUUUUUCUCUCUUGCGAUUUCUGGGUUUCAAAAUCAGUUUAUAAUUUUUCUGGGUUUGGUGUAUUUGUUUGUAUUGCUGUACCUUGAGUGAUGAUUGAAGCUAUUCAGGUAUCACCAGCAUUUGCGUGUUUGUGGAACACUCGUAGCAUCAGCGAAGAUGAUGAAUAAUGAAGAAGAUCUUCUAAACAGUGGUACUAUUAAUAAGUGUUUUGAAUUUUGGAGUUUGAAUUAUUGUAUUAAAUAUGUUGUGUUAAAUAUUUUGAUGAGUUAAAUUAUAUAAUUUGUUAAUUUCUGAUUA